UAAUACGUAGGGGGCGAGCGUUGUUCGGAAUGACUGGGCGUAAAGGGCGCGUAGGCGGCCGAUCAAGUUGGGAGUGAAAUUCCUGCUUUCAAGGUGGGAACUGCUUUCAAAACUGGUUGGCUUGAGUGCGGAAGAGGUAAGUGGAAUUCCCAGUGUAGCGGUGAAAUGCGUAGAGAUUGGGAGGAACACCAGUGGCGAAGGCGACUUACUGGGCCGUAACUGACGCUGAGGCGCGAAAGCGUGGGGAGCAAACAGG
rnacentral:rRNA from 1 species